rnacentral:rRNA from 1 species
GACGACGCUGGCGGCGUGGAUUAGGCAUGCAAGUCGAACGGUAGGAUACCUUCGGGUAUCUGAGAGUGGCGAACGGGUGAGUAACACGUAGGUGAUCUACCCUCAAGAUUGGGACAACCCAGGGAAACUUGGGCUAAUACCGGAUGAAAGCAGCAGUGAUGUUGUUUGAAAGGUGGCGUAAGCUGCCGUUUGGGGAUGAGCCUGCGCUCUAUUAGUUAGUUGGCGGGGUAAAGGCCCACCAAGGCGAUGAUAGAUAGGCGGCCUUAACGGGUGGUCGCCCACACUGGGAUUGAGAUACGGCCCAGACUCCUACGGGAGGCAGCAGUCGAGAAUAGUCUACAAUGGCCGAAAGGCUGAUAGUGCGACGCCGCGUGAACGAAGAAGCCCUUCGGGGUGUAAAGUUCUUUUAUAUGUGAGCAGUGACAUCUAUAUUAAUAGUAUGGGUGUAGAGAUAUUAGCAUAUGAAUAAGCAACGGCUAACUCCGUG